UUUGGGCUUGAUCAUGUCAGGCAUACUGUAGACUGCCUUGUCAUGGGACUUGUAACUUUACCUUGAUCUUUGAUAUGGGUUAGCUCUGACUGUCUGUCAGGGCUUACACAGGCUAACACACUGUGAACUGUGUUGCACUAGGACUUGGGACUUCUCUCUGGAAUUACAGACCAGAUAGAACUUCAGAUGGUUCAUUUUAAAUACUGCUCAUCCGUGACCAAAAUCUAAAAGGGACUCCAACCAAGAGAAGAAUUCCUUGGGGGCUCAACAGAACUCUGCAGAGGCAGAAAAGAGGAUGUGAAUGUGGCCUAGAAUCGGGAUUUUCUUCGUCUGCCACUGAGUUGUAAUUUGGAAAAAACAAAAAGGCCUUGUGUUGCUGGGAAGGAAAAUAUCUAAGAAGGAACUGGUUGUAUCUAGGAUGUAAAAAUAAUGAAUGCUUAACUGAGAAAAGAAAUGAGAGGACCUAUCACAAUUAGCUGACAUGAUGUGGAUGAAUAUUUAGUAAAGAGUCUGAAAAGUAGCAGUCAGACAGAGAUACAGAGAAGCAUUGAGGCAAGUGACACUGGAAACCUCUGCUCUGUCUGGAAAAGAUCAACCUACUCCCCCAUCUGUAGGAUAUUUUCAAGAAUUGAAGUCAUUGGUUCACACCUUCUGCUGAUCAUGAGUGCUGUUGAAUGAGAUUAAGAAACUGAACCAGGAGCAAAAUGAUCUCUGGUCACACAAGUGUCAGAGACAGAAUUCAAAUCCAGAUUUCUUCUGACCUCCAAAUUUAUCAUGCAUUCCACUAUGCUAGGAGAUCUUAACAGAAGUCCACAAACCUGUUGUGUUUUUUAAUAUAAUGAUGUCAAUAAAUUUGACUCCCCUUUCAA